CCUAGGAUGUGUUGGAGACAAUACUGGAAUUAUAUUAAAUGUUCAUAAGAAAGAGGUACUGCUAUUCUCAUCUUUGGCGUGGGGAUACUGAACCCCCAGGAGCACUUGGUCUCACGGCUGGUUGGUGAUGUAACCAGCAUAACUCAGACCCCUCUCUUCCGGCAGCCACCAGGCUAGAUGCUUCCAGGUACUGUAGCCAGGCACUUAGUAAUCCAAGUCUAAUUCUCUGUUUUCCAGGGUGUCUCAGGGGCUAGGGCCUGUCCUGCAAACUAAACUGGCGCUGGGAUGUGAGAGGGAGCUUCUGCAUCCCCUUUCAGCCUGUCUAUUCUGGAGUUCAAAGCUCUUCUCUGGCUUCUGAGGACUUGCCCAGACAGCUCUCACCUCGAGAGGAAAGAAAGGAAACAGGCCUGAUUGCCCCAUCAUUUCACAACGGAGAUACCACGCACUUGACUUGCCCGGUCCACCCAUGCAGCUAGGGGCAAGAGGGAGAAUCCUCCGGCUCCCUGCUGCUCCCAGAGCCGGGGAAGCCCUGAGCUGCCUUUCCUGAGUUUCCCAAUAGCUGGAGACAUCAGAGAGAGGCAGAUGGAUGUGGGGAAAACCUCUUCUGAAACUGAGGGAUGGUGAUGCAUGUGGCUGGCAGGGGAGAGCAUACAGAUGGAGACAGCAUGUCACUGAUGAAAUGCACUGGUGACCUUUUGCAUCGGCGACCUUGGCAUUGCAGACCUUGCCAGCUGGCCCUCUGAGACUGCUAACACCAGUCCUCCCCAAGGGAGUGUGUCUGGUCUCCUGACCCAGCAGCUGCACCAGAAAAUCAGAUCUAGAAGACAGAGACCGACCCAUUUUGUUCUUUGUGAGCUGAGAUGGAGAGGUUGAUGGUCCCACCUGGAGCCUUUCAGGAGAAAGGGCUUUUGCAGAUGCGAUGAAAAGAAUCUUGCAAUGAACAGAUUAGCUAGGAUUAAAUACUAGUGUCCUAAACCACAUCCCAAAUACCCUUCUAAGGCAGAGGCAGAGGAAGCUGGGACACUCAGAAGAGAAGGCAGCUUGACCACAGAGUCUGGAGCAACUGGAGUGACGCAGCCGCUGAUCAAAGAGUGCUGGCAGCCGCCAGCAGCUGGAGGCAGAAGUAGGUUCUCAGAGUCUCCGGAGAAGCUCGGCUCAGCCGACACCUUGACACUGGCCCAGGACGCUGGUUUCUGACUUCUGGUCACCAGAACUGUGAAAAAACACAACUCCGCUGGUGUAAGCCUCCUGCUCUACAGUAACUCGAUACAAGGGUGACAGGAAAUGAAUGCAGCCUUCUGCCCCAGGGCCUGGGACACAACAGACAGGGAAUAUUUGUUGAAAGAAUAAACAAAAGCUCCCAACCAAGCAUGGUCCCCAGACCAGGUUGGGCCUCCUCACCAAAAAGUCCUCCUGUUUGCUAUGCUUGUCUCUGUGCCCUGGGCAGUUUGUCACAUGUGUGGCCAUGGCAGAGACUGCCUUUGACAGCCAGCUCCUUUUGACAAAGGUGUUGGCAGAGCCAUAGACAGUUGGCCUCUGGCCACGCCCAGCCAGCAGAAGUAUUUUGUUUGGCUGGCAUAUAAUGUUGUGAGUAAAUUAAAAUAGACACCAGGAUUUUAAUACAAUUCCUGAGAUUUUACAUAAAAUCAGGAUUUCCAUUUUCUGUUGAGAAAUCUGACAUUCUUUCCACUCCUGCUGCACCCGCACAGGGCUCAGGGGCUGGGACCUGAAAGGUGGCUGCUCCUGCGGCUCAGGCUUGGGCUGGGGUCCAACCCUAGGCUGCUCAGCUGCCCUAAGCUCUCGGCACCCCCAGUAAGACAGGACAAGUUCCCUCAGUCUUGCAUGAAGAGCAGAGCGCCCCCUGGCGUCUGGACUGCUGCCCAGUACAUCCUUUAUUGAGAUUCUAAAACCCUUGGCGUGGUGUCUGUAAUCUUAGCACUCUGGGAGGCUGAGGCAGGAGGACUACAAAUUCAAACUCAGCUUGGGUAAUUUAGAGAUUUUGCAAGAGCUUGUCGCUAAAUUAAUAAUUUUUUGAGGGGCUGAGGAGGAAGGUCAGUGAGAAGGUGGGUUCAAUCACCAGUAUGGCAAUAAAAUGUAUUCUGAAGUAACCUGCUCAGGGGCUCUCUGCCCCUUUGCGGCUUCCAGCCAGGAAAGUUGUCUCUAGAAAUCACCCAGUCAUUUCCUGGGGGUGGAGAUGAAUCUUAGCAAAUUUCUGAAGCUGUCUAAUUAUCUCCGACAGGCCUGUGGAGACGGCCUAACUGCAUCUUCACCUGCUUUCCCCAGCAUUCCCUGGCCCUAACAGUGGCCCUGAAAGAAGCCAAAAGUUUUAGUACAGGAAAGAAAUGCAACAGAAGCCCCUGGGGGCCACCCAUGGAAGGUACUGGGGGCUGGCUCUGCGGACCCUACCAUACACAUGGGUGGGACUAGAGACGGUUCCUCAAACAGGAGGGUGGCUGGUAGCCCUGGGCCAGGGCGGGGAUGGCCCAGAGCACAGCCCUCUCCCCUCCAGGCAGAGCCAAAGCAGAACAGAGGAUCCUUUUGACAAGGAGAAUUUUUGAGUGAGGCUCCCACGAAAUGAUCUGUGUCCGCAGCUGCUGACUGCGAGGCUGCUCUAGCAGUCUUCCCCUGGGCUCCAGGAAAGGAAAUUUAAAACACGUGUAAACGCCUUAAUGAGACCAGUAAAUCCCUGCACGUCUUUCUCCAUCUAACGUGCGCUAAUUUGGUGAGUCUCUCUGAACAGGGGUCUGCAGCAGGGUGGACCGGGUGGGAGAAGCUGUGCGUUCAGUGAGCCGAAGCUGUGUGGCUGCAGUGCAUUGCCUAAUUUCUCCAAGCUUCGAUGUUUCUACUUGUAAAGUGGAAGGGUUGGACUGAGAUGGAGAACUUGCACGUCCUGACUGUUACCAGGAAGUCAGGGAAAUGGCUACACUGUGCCCGUGUUCUCAGACUGGGAAAUUAUGCUGAAGUGGGGCUUUCAGCUACUCCCAUCCCAUCCCUGGGCUGCUAAGCACUACAGAGUGGGGACGAAUCGGGGUUGCAGCUCUUUCUGUUGCUCCUCACAGCAACCCACAAAAACAGACAACAAAUAUGAACGUGUGUGACAUGGUGCAUUUGUUGUAAGGACACGGGUCCUGAGGGAGUGGCUGGGUUUAGGAGCUCUUGUGUCCAGGUGAGUCAGGAGAACCCAGCAGGA